GCAGAUUUCGCCGACUCCUUCGCUGCCUCCAUAUAUAAAGAGCGCCAGCUAUACAGUCAGUCUUACAUAUCAACAUAGCUUUUCUCUUUCGCCGGCGAUUUUCAAUCACUCCGGCCGCCGGUGAUCCCUUGCCUCACUGCUGUUUGAUUUUAUGAACCAUUAAUUGAGAAUCAAUGCCGGUUGCAAAGCUCAGCAUUGGUGCUACUCCAGCUGCAAUGAAAGCAGACGAGGGAAAUGAUCCUCUUGAUACCUUAAUUAGGCAAGCCAUGGGCAAGGAGCCUCUUUUUUCUUUCUCAAGAACAGGGGAUGGGCCUGUCCAGUGGAUUCAACUGCUUAAUGGAUUAGAG
rnacentral:misc_RNA from 1 species